rnacentral:rRNA from 1 species
AUGCAUUGGUUCGCAUGGUGGAAGUUGUGUGUGCCGAAGAAGAAAGGGGGAUUGGGGUUUAGGGACCUUCACAGUUUUAACCUUGCUAUGUUAGCAAAGCAGUGUUGGCGACUUCUCCAGAACCCAGACUCUCUGUGUGGGCAAGUUCUCAGUGCUAAGUAUUAUCCAGAUGGUAAUUUAUUGAAGGCUGGACCAGAAAAGGGAUCUUCAUAUACUUGGCAAAGCAUUGUCGCCUGCAUUCAAACUUUCCAGAGGGGUUGCAUUUGGAGGGUUGGCUCGGGGUCACAAAUUAACAUUUGGCAGGACCCAUGGGUUCCAACCAGUGUAACUCGGAAAGUAAUCACACCAAGAGGGACGAUGAUGUUGUCAAAAGUAGAAGAACUAAUUGAUCCUCACACUGGAAUGUGGGACGAGGUGCUUCUGAGAGACUGCUUCUUUCUUGUUGAUGUGCAUAGAAUACUACAAAUUUCGCUAAACCCGCACAUGACCGAGGAUUUUAUCGCAUGGAACUACACAAGGCCCGGCACCUUUUCUGUACGCUCGGCAUAUUACAGGGAGUUAGAACACCAACUUGGUCCACGUCUGACAAGAAUUGAUGUGCAGGGAAACGCUCAAAUCAAUAAUAUAUGGAAAGAGGCAUGGAAGCUAAAGGUACCGGGGAAGGUAAAACACUUUGCAUGGAAAGUACUCCAUGGAGUACUACCAUGUUAUGGGGUUCUUGCUAGCCGGCACAUUCCCCUGUCGCCCCAAUCCCCAUGCUCGAUCGGAGCUGAGGAUAUACAACACACAUUAUUCACAUGUCGGGAUGUGAAGGAAGUAUGGGCGAAGCUCGGACUCUUGGAUAUAGUCCAACGAUCAGUAGCUGAAGACAGGUCCGGCUCUAUUAAUCUGGAAAUUCUGAUUAAACAAAACUUCUCUGUAGAUGGUAUCCCAGAAGCAGAACUAUCAACUGUAGCGGCUUGGUUCUUAUGGUGGCAGCGCCGCCAACUAGUGAAAGGAGUGCAGAUUCAGAGCCCGGAAAAAAACGGCAAUGUCAAUUAG